CUCUUCGUAUAAGAGAAGCUGAGCCUGCUGACUCUGGACUGUACUACUGUGGUGGAGAACCAGCUGCUUAUCUGAAUGUGACCAAAGGACAGAGAUCUGACAGAGAUAAAGAAACAACAACUACAACAGUUACUCACCAGCCAGCAGUGACACCUGCCCCGUCAGCCAACCGUCACCUGUUUGACUUGGGGAUCCGAGCCCUUGUGGUCUUCGUCUGCAGCCUUGUUCUCGUCAUCAUUUACUUUAUUUGGAGACAAAAGUCCAAAAGACGAGGGACUGACGAACAGCUCCACGCCUGUGAUGAGACACCAGCUGGAGCAGAACAUCUUAUAAAUGGAGCAGCGCCUGCAUCAACAUGCUGACAGACCUGCAGAGCUUCCCAGGAUUUCCCUCCUGACUGGGAUGAUCCUGACUGGGAUGAUCCUGACUGGGAUGGUCCUGACUGGGAUGGUCCUGACUGGGAUGGUCCUGCCUGAGCGUUGAUGCUGCAUGUCUGCUGCUCCCUGGAGCACAGCUUCUAUUUCCACAUUUGUAUGACGCAUGGUUUUAGUGAAGUCACUGUAAAUAAAGGCUGACUGUGAUUCCCCUGACUGUGAGUCCACUUCAGUGUACAUGACAUUGUGAUACCAAUGAUAGCCGACCAGACUGAUAAAGCUGCUGAUAUCAUGGAGGAAGGUAGCUGUGUGGACGGGAAGCAAGGCUGACGCUGGAGAUGGAUGCUAGCUGUUCUUCCAUGGUGCGGAUAGAAAUGGAGUAGGGGAAACCUCGAAGGUGGAGCAGGUGAACAGUGUUGUGGAGGUCAGGAGGGGGUCAGACAGGAUCAUAGCGAGUGGUGAUUGGAGCAGAGCUCUGACAUCCAGGUGCAGGGAACAGAGGUGACGGAGGUGCUGGGUGGGCUUGGAGAGAGAAAUGAAACUGUGAUUGUGAUGAAGGUGCACACAGGUGGGCUACAUCUAACACAGGAAGGGGAAAGUGAAAGCUAGGAGACUGUAAGGUGGUGUCAGGGGAGGAUGUAUACCUGCAGCAUUUAAUGGUAGGAUGACUUUGAAGAAGAGGAGGUGAGUGAAGGUUGAUAGCUAGGUGGUAGCUACAGCAAAGACAAAGGCUGACAGUCACCUUCAUGUGACACUGAGAAAAGAGAUUGUAUCUGAGAGACGAGGAAGGAUUAUGGACCAGGAAGUUCAGAGGAGUAAGGAGGAAGUGAGGGCAGCCAUGAAGAGGAGGAGGCAGCCGGUCCACGUGACAUACCUGUGCAGGUGUGGAGGUAUCAGAGAGAGAGGGCUGUUUAACCCGAUUAUUUAAUGUGAGCUAGAGCGAGGAGGGAUAAACUGAUGAAGAACGACAGCUGUUGUUGAAGCUAUGCUAAGAAGACGUGAGUUUGAAUACCGAGGCCAACCAUCCAAAGCAACUGCACAGGAGAGACCAGCUGUGAUGAUGGGGAGACAGUGGCACUGACACAGCGACAGGAGGCCGAUGCUCAGAUUUUUAGGGAGUCUGACGUGCUGGAUUAAAAGAGUACAUGAGAGAGUCGCCUCAGGUUAAGCUGUUUGGAGACAAAGUUAGAGAGGUUGGGUGGAUUUUAACUGUGAGUCUGACCAAAGCAGCAGAAGAUUUCGACCCCACCAGCCUCCUCAUGCAGACUGUGUGUCAUCCCUAUCAUCCCUCAGAGGCCAGUGUCACCGCUGCUGCUGCUCCGAAUGAUGAGGUCUGUGGUGCAGAAUCACGAGACACAGGCAGCAGCUGACAAAGCAGCAUCACACUGAGCAGGAGACAGCCCUUCAAAGUAAAGCAGGAAGUGCAGUGGGACACAGGGGGAAAUGCAGCCACACUCAUCAAUAUGUGAAACAGUGACUGGUCCGAGUCCUUCAGCCUCACAGUUUGAUUUCUGACACACACACACACACACACACACACACACACAGCUUUAAAAACACAAACCUGUUUGGUUUCCAGCACCAGGACGCUGACCUC